CCAAUAGCGUAUAUUAAAGUUGUUGCAGUUAAAAAGCUCGUAGUUGAAUUUCGGGAUCAAUUUAUUGGUCGUGCUAUCGUACGUACUGGUAUUAUUGAUUCCUACCUUCUGACGAACCAUGAUGUCAUUAAUUUGGUGUCAUGGGGAAUCAGGACUGUUACUUUGAAAAAAUUAGAGUGUUUAAAGCAGGCUCACGCUUGAAUACAUUAGCAUGGAAUAA
rnacentral:rRNA from 1 species